UAGGGAAUCUUCGGCAAUGGGGGCAACCCUGACCGAGCAACGCCGCGUGAGUGAAGAAGGUUUUCGGAUCGUAAAGCUCUGUUGUAAGAGAAGAACGUGUGUGAGAGUGGAAAGUUCACACAGUGACGGUAACUUACCAGAAAGGGACGGCUAACUACGUGCCAGCAGCCGCGGUAAUACGUAGGUCCCGAGCGUUGUCCGGAUUUAUUGGGCGUAAAGCGAGCGCAGGCGGUUUAAUAAGUCUGAAGUUAAAGGCAGUGGCUUAACCAUUGUUCGCUUUGGAAACUGUUAAACUUGAGUGCAGAAGGGGAGAGUGGAAUUCCAUGUGUAGCGGUGAAAUGCGUAGAUAUAUGGAGGAACACCGGUGGCGAAAGCGGCUCUCUGGUCUGUAACUGACGCUGAGGCUCGAAAUCGUGGGGAGCAAACAGG
rnacentral:rRNA from 1 species